rnacentral:rRNA from 1 species
UACGUAGGGUGCGAGCGUUGCCCGGAUUUAUUGGGCGUAAAGGGCGCGUAGGCGGUCACGCACGUCCGUUGUGAAAUCGCUCGGCUCAACUGGGCGGGGUCAGCGGAUACGGCGUGGCUGGAGCAAGCUAGGGGGCAAUGGAAUUCCCGGUGUAGUGGUGGAAUGCGUAGAUAUCGGGAGGAACACCAGUGGCGAAGGCGGUUGCCUGGAGCUUUGCUGACGCUGAUGCGCGAAAGCGUUGGGAGCGAUCCGG